rnacentral:snRNA from 1 species
GUUUUUCUCGUUGUUUCUCUGUCA